AAUGGGUCAGCGACUUAUAUUCUGUAGCAAGGUUAACCGAAUAGGGGAGCCGAAGGGAAACCGAGUCUUAACUGGGCGUUAAGUUGCAGGGUAUAGACCCGAAACCCGGUGAUCUAGCCAUGGGCAGGUUGAAGGUUGGGUAACACUAACUGGAGGACCGAACCGACUAAUGUUGAAAAAUUAGCGGAUGACUUGUGGCUGGGGGUGAAAGGCCAAUCAAACCGGGAGAUAGCUGGUUCUCCCCGAAAGCUAUUUAGGUAGCGCCUCGUGAAUUCAUCUCCGGGGGUAGAGCACUGUUUCGGCAAGGGGGUCAUCCCGACUUACCAACCCGAUGCAAACUGCGAAUACCGGAGAAUGUUAUCACGGGAGACACACGGCGGGUGCUAACGUCCGUCGUGAAGAGGGAAACAACCCAGACCGCCAGCUAAGGUCCCAAAGUCAUGGUUAAGUGGGAAACGAUGUGGGAAGGCCCAGACAGCCAGGAUGUUGGCUUAGAAGCAGCCAUCAUUUAAAGAAAGCGUAAUAGCUCACUGGUCGAGUCGGCCUGCGCGGAAGAUGUAACGGGGCUAAACCAUGCACCGAAGCUGCGGCAGCGACACUAAGUGUUGUUGGGUAGGGGAGCGUUCUGUAAGCCUGUGAAGGUGUACUGUGAGGUAUGCUGGAGGUAUCAGAAGUGCGAAUGCUGACAUAAGUAACGAUAAAGCGGGUGAAAAGCCCGCUCGCCGGAAGACCAAGGGUUCCUGUCCAACGUUAAUCGGGGCAGGGUGAGUCGACCCCUAAGGCGAGGCCGAAAGGCGUAGUCGAUGGGAAACAGGUUAAUAUUCCUGUACUUGGUGUUACUGCGAAGGGGGGACGGAGAAGGCUAUGUUGGCCGGGCGACGGUUGUCCCGGUUUAAGCGUGUAGGCUGGUUUUCCAGGCAAAUCCGGAAAAUCAAGGCUGAGGCGUGAUGACGAGGCACUACGGUGCUGAAGCAACAAAUGCCCUGCUUCCAGGAA
rnacentral:rRNA from 1 species